ACGCUAGCUACAGGCUUAACACAUGCAAGUCGAGGGGCAGCAUGGUCUUAGCUUGCUAAGGCCGAUGGCGACCGGCGCACGGGUGAGUAACACGUAUCCAACCUGCCGUCUACUCUUGGACAGCCUUCUGAAAGGAAGAUUAAUACAAGAUGGCAUCAUGAGUCCGCAUGUUCACAUGAUUAAAGGUAUUCCGGUAGACGAUGGGGAUGCGUUCCAUUAGAUAGUAGGCGGGGUAACGGCCCACCUAGUCUUCGAUGGAUAGGAGUUCUGAGAGGAAGGUCCCCCACAUUGGAACUGAGACACGGUCCAAACUCCUACGGGAGGCAGCAGUGAGGAAUAUUGGUCAAUGGGCGAGAGCCUGAACCAGCCAAGUAGCGUGAAGGAUGACUGCCCUAUGGGUUGUAAACUUCUUUUAUAAAGGAAUAAAGUCGGGUAUGGAUACCCGUUUGCAUGUACUUUAUGAAUAAGGAUCGGCUAACUCCGUGCCAGCAGCCGCGGUAAUACGGAGGAUCCGAGCGUUAUCCGGAUUUAUUGGGUUUAAAGGGAGCGUAGAUGGAUGUUUAAGUCAGUUGUGAAAGUUUGCGGCUCAACCGUAAAAUUGCAGUUGAUACUGGAUAUCUUGAGCGCAGUUGAGGCAGGCGGAAUUCGUGGUGUAGCGGUGAAAUGCUUAGAUAUCACGAAGAACUCCGAUUGCGAAGGCAGCCUGCUAAGCUGCAACUGACAUUGAGGCUCGAAAGUGUGGGUAUCAAACAGGAUUAGAUACCCUGGUAGUCCACACGGUAAACGAUGAAUACUCGCUGUUUGCGAUAUACAGCAAGCGGCCAAGCGAAAGCGUUAAGUAUUCCACCUGGGGAGUACGCCGGCAACGGUGAAACUCAAAGGAAUUGACGGGGGCCCGCACAAGCGGAGGAACAUGUGGUUUAAUUCGAUGAUACGCGAGGAACCUUACCCGGGCUUAAAUUGCAGAUGAAUUACGGUGAAAGCCGUAAGCCGCAAGGCAUCUGUGAAGGUGCUGCAUGGUUGUCGUCAGCUCGUGCCGUGAGGUGUCGGCUUAAGUGCCAUAACGAGCGCAACCCUUGUUGUCAGUUACUAACAGGUUCCGCUGAGGACUCUGACAAGACUGCCAUCGUAAGAUGUGAGGAAGGUGGGGAUGACGUCAAAUCAGCACGGCCCUUACGUCCGGGGCUACACACGUGUUACAAUGGGGGGUACAGAGGGCCGCUACCACGCGAGUGGAUGCCAAUCCCCAAAACCUCUCUCAGUUCGGACUGGAGUCUGCAACCCGACUCCACGAAGCUGGAUUCGCUAGUAAUCGCGCAUCAGCCACGGCGCGGUGAAUACGUUCCCGGGCCUUGUACACACCGCCCGUCAAGCCAUGGGAGCCGGGGGUACCUGAAGUGCGUAACCGCGAGGAGCGCCCUAGGGUAAAACUGGUGACUGGGG
rnacentral:rRNA from 1 species